rnacentral:rRNA from 1 species
UACGAAGGGGGCUAGCGUUGCUCGGAAUCACUGGGCGUAAAGCGCACGUAGGCGGGUUCUUAAGUCAGGGGUGAAAUCCUGGAGCUCAACUCCAGAACUGCCUUUGAUACUGGGAAUCUCGAGUCCGGGAGAGGUGAGUGGAACUGCGAGUGUAGAGGUGAAAUUCGUAGAUAUUCGCAAGAACACCAGUGGCGAAGGCGGCUCACUGGCCCGGUACUGACGCUGAGGUGCGAAAGCAUGGGGAGCGAACAGG